GACGAACGCUGGCGGCGUGCUUAACACAUGCAAGUCGAACGGAAAGGCCCUGCUUUUGUGGGGUGCUCGAGUGGCGAACGGGUGAGUAACACGUGAGUAACCUGCCCUUGACUUUGGGAUAGCUUCAGGAAACUGGGGCUAAUACCGGAUAGGAGCUCCUGCUGCAUGGUGGGGGUUGGAAAGUUUCGGCGGUUGGGGAUGGACUCGCGGCUUAUCAGCUUGUUGGUGGGGUAGUGGCUUACCAAGGCUUUGACGGGUAGCCGGCCUGAGAGGGUGACCGGCCACAUGGGGACUGAGAUACGGCCCAGACUCCUACGGGAGGCAGCAGUGGGGAAUAUUGCACAAUGGGCGGAAGCCUGAUGCAGCAACGCCGCGUGCGGGAUGACGGCCUUCGGGUUGUAAACCGCUUUCGCCUGUGACGAAGCGUGAGUGACGGUAAUGGGUAAAGAAGCACCGGCUAACUACGUG
rnacentral:rRNA from 1 species